UAUAUAUUUUUUUCUCAGCCGCCUGCGCCAUAAAUUAUGCUACACUUUAUUAUUUUGUAAAGCAAGCAACAUAAAACUUUACCUUCAGCUCAGCGUCAGUUAAUGGUCCAGCAUACUCAUACUUAGAUACUUUUAACCUGACCCUUUUUUUGCGCCGUAAAAUAUCAGUCAUAAUGGCUUACUUGUUAUCGGCAACAGUAGCAGCCUGUGCGAGUGUGUGUUUGUGUGUGUACACGUAUUAAUUGGUACUGCCUGGAAAUGACUGACAGCUAGCCAGAAGCGAAACUCAACAGAAAAAUAUUAAAACUUUUUGUGGCCAGCGGGAACUAUGAUGAAUUUAUCACUGUAUUUAUUACGAAAUUUGCAACCCAGCACGGAUUCGGAAAACUAUAUGGUAGACAUAACCAUGGUAAUUGAUAUAGUCAUGUCCCGAUGCCCGUCUGUCUCUCUGUCUCUCUGUUUCUAUUCAAUAUUUGUAUCCCCUUUCAAAAUCUAUAUAAAAUAUGGUGUGUUCAGUUUUUCUUGCUGCAGGCGACAUGCUUAAUUUCCAUGGGAACAAUCGGCGUUUUUUUAUUUUAGUUUGCUAUGUCUUAUAUAAUUAGACAAAUUAUAUGCUACAUGACAGCUUCAACUAGUUAUACUUAGAAUCUAUAUGUAUUAAAGGGGGUACUAUAUUGCUGUGGCACACGAGUCUGAGAUUACAUUUAAACGCGCAAUAUAUUUUUAGAAAAAACUACGCAAAUGUGUUAUAUCAUAAAGGAAUCCUCCUGCAGAAAUACCAGGCAGCACAAGAGAUUUAACUGAUUCUCUAAUGCUGCGCUCCUCUCAUUUAACCAUAUGCUGCCCAAUAGACAUUUGUAUAUGCUUGAAGUGACUAAGAACAAAGUAAUUAAUUAAUUAUGUGCACUAGUUCAAGCUGCUAUCUUCUGCAUCACUUCUGUCACAGCAAGUUGCCAGAUCUUGGCUCGUAAGUAUAAAAGUAUGGAAGUUGAGUUUAGGUAUAUGUGUAUGUAUUUGGUUAACAGUUUCAAUUGAUUGGUUUAGGUUUUGGUUCCUGAGCCAAGUUUCCCAACUUCCCAAGCUCCGAUUUUGGCUUAAACUUAGGCUGGCCAUUUAUUUUCAAGAUUCCAAUGAAACGGUUCAAUAUAUAAUUUACAUAUGUCUGUUUGACUAAAUGUAUUGCGAGCAGUACAUAUUAUACACAUGUGGCAUUGGCUUGUAGCCUUAGUUUGCGAAUUCAUCAGAAUACAGUGUCCGAAACAGCAUUGAAAUACAUAUUUAAUACGAGCUCAAUGGAGAAUUAGAGUAUGUGCAGGUCCUUACUUUGAAUUUGUAUUCAUAAAUAAGUCAUUGAUCAAUUCAAUUUAACAAAUACCAGGAAAAUUUUGAAAUUCUAUUUAUAGCCAGUUGGCAUCAUUAAGAACACAAUAUUAUUAAGCAAACUAAAAUGAAAAGCUUUAAGCGGAAUUUGCGGAAUACUCACAAAAUGCACAGAGUUUACAUUUCAUUCAUUAGGUUUAUUUAAUCAAUUUUUUUCGAGGGUGCUCUUGACCAAAUCAAUCGAAAAAAUACAUGAGGUCUGAAACCAACCAAAAUAGUUGCUGUCACCGAGAAUUGGACUUGGGUUAGAAGAGAUUUCUGUGUCACCCCUGAAUAUGACGAUGAAAAAAAAUGGCUACUAAACUCAGAAGGUGGAUAUCAGAGCAUGCUCCUCACUAGGCAUGACGAUUACACAUGUUUUAGUACAAGAAGCUCUUCACAAAAUUCUGAUUCUAUAAUAUGUUGUUAUGUUAGACAGUCAGAUUACAAUGAUAUUAUUAAAUAAUGUCCUAUAUAUGUUGAUUUA